rnacentral:sRNA from 1 species
AAUUUUCAAUUUUUUUGGUUUUUUCUAUGCCUUAAAUGAAUGCAGACUCAACUCAAGAGUAUAUACAAUGUAGCACACACUUCCUGAGCCCUCCCCCAAACUUAAAUCACAUAGUCCACUGUGUGACUAAACUUGGAAGAGAGUACUCAGGACAAGUCAAAUCACAGAAACAAAAUAUAAACAAGAGAUGGUAUAGUACAAUGGUGAAGUGAGGCGCUUACCUCAGUCAAAGAAUGAACGGAGUUGGUCGUCAAUGGCUGCCUGUGAUUGCUCCCAGGCCAUUGAAGAGUCGCCCUGUUCUGUCUCAGCUCCAGCAUGUGGGUACUGUACCUCAUUGCCUUUGUGGCGACCAGCACCGCCAUGAGUAUACUCGACUUCCAUUCUUCUGCUGCAUCCAGCACCGCGGUCAAGGGAUCUCCUGGCGUGGGUAAGCUAAAACAUGGUCAAGUAGUUUUCAUUGCUCUGUGGUCGAGUAUACUACUGUACCCUCAGACCUAGAAUCCACUUCACUCAGCUCUUUAUACUUAUCUCCUGAAGACACUAACCAAAUGCAUCAAAAACAACAAGGAAAAAUAAAGAUAUGUACAUAGAUAGACAUGGGAAUUCCUCCCAAGUGAGCUUGUUUUAAGUCUCUAAGCUUGACUUCUCAUACUCAUUAGGCUUAGGGUGGGUUGAAGAGAGGAAAUGAGGUCUCCUCUCCUUCUUGAGUAGAGUGAUCAUCAUACUCAUUAAGGUUUCUUGAUAGGUCUACAAUUGGGUACUCAGUGGCCAUGUCCUCACAGUAAGCUUCUUUUUUAUCAAGAUAACCUUCUCCUCUAGACCAUUUUGAUGUGAAUUCACAUCCUUCUUUGCUGACAAGAAUAGUAGCUCCAUCGUCAGGGGCGUCCUUGAUGUUAAGUGGUACUUGGUUGGCUUUUCCAUUGAGCUCCUUGAUUUGAUCCUUCAGCUCUUUCACAAUAUGUGUUAGCUCUUGUAUGGCUUUGUCCUGCCAUUUAGAUCUCUCCUUGAGUUCUAACCAAUCAUCUGACGUCUGAGUGUUUGCCUUGAGUUGUUUGGUCGAGCAUGAGCUUUCAAGGCAAGUUGGAGGCUUCUUCGAGUUGUUGGUGGAAUCAGUUGGUCGAGCAUGUGUUGAACUUACUUCAUUAGCUUUCAUAACCUUUGUGUCAGACCCCAGCAAGCCCUUGUAAACCUUUGAGCCAACUACUGACUUGUGUGAGUCUAAUGACUUCUCAGAACUCAAAGUUUCACUAGGGAGAUACCCAGCUUUACCACUCUUGGUCAAAAUAGUUUUUGAGUUAUUUGCUUCUUCAAGUUCCACGAGCAGUUAAUCAACUAGCCGAUCCAUUUCCUCAACUAAGAAGGUCUGUCCUUCUAUUGUCAGCUUCUUCAUAGCAUCAUUGAUGUCAAACUUCAUUUUAAAUUCCUUCCCCAUAUUAAGAUCAAUCUUUCCUUGCUUAACAUCUAUGAUUGCUCCAGCUGUAGCCAAAAAGGGCCUUCCUAAGAUCAAGGGAUCUUUUCGUUCUUCAUCCAUGUUCAACACUAUGAAGUCUAUAGGCACCUCCACAUUUCCAAUCUUGAUAGGGAAAUCUUCUAAUAACCCAUGAGGUUGUCUAACAGACCCAUCAGCCAAGAUCAAGGAGAUAUUGCAAUAUUUAUAUUU